rnacentral:rRNA from 1 species
UAUCUCUGUAGAGUCUGCAUAUCAAUAAGCGGAGGAAAAGAAACUAACUAGGAUUCCCUCAGUAACGGCGAGUGAAGCGGGAAGAGCUCAAAUUUGAAAUCUUCAAGGUUCUACCUUGACGAAUUGUAGUUUAAAGAAGUGUUUUCUGUUGGAGUUUUGGUAAAAGUUCUUUGGAAUAGGACAUCAUAGAGGGUGAGAAUCCCGUAUUUGACCAUUAUUUCCAGCUUUGUGAUACACUUUCAAAGAGUCGGAUUGUUUGGGAAUGCAGUCCAAAAUGGGUGGUAAAUUUCAUCUAAAGCUAAAUAUUGGCGAGAGACCGAUAGCGAACAAGUACCGUGAGGGAAAGAUGAAAAGAACUUUGAAAAGAGAGUUAAACAGUACGUGAAAUUGUCAAAAGGGAAGCGUUUGACACCAGUGUUGUUUUUCUCGAAAAUCAAUUAAAAAAGGCAGGAUUUUGUGUUGUAUUGACUUUAUCAGCUUUCUGCACUCUUUUCUUGUCUUUUUUUAAUGCACCUUUCGUUUAACAAGUCAACAUCAAUUUCUUUUGUUGUAAAAGAGUCAUUGGAAGGUGGCUUUCUUUUCGGAGAAAGUGUUUAUAGCCCUUAUACUUCUACAAUCGGAGAGAUUGAGGUCUGCAGCGUAGAUCCUUCGGGGUUAGAUACAUUAGAUGCUAAGUUAUAGCUUUUUAUAGACAACUUGUUGACUAUGAUUAAGUCAUGUAGCUUACUCGCUUAUGCCUAUUUUACCUACGCUUAGGAUGUUGAAGAUGUAGCACAUCAU